AUUGAACGCUGGCGGCAGGCCUAACACAUGCAAGUCGAGCGGUAGAGAGGUGCUUGCAUCUCUUGAGAGCGGCGGACGGGUGAGUAAUGCCUAGGAAUCUGCCUGGUGGUGGGGGAUAACGUUCGGAAACGGACGCUAAUACCGCAUACGUCCUACGGGAGAAAGCGGGGGAUCUUCGGACCUCGCGCCAUUAGAUGAGCCUAGGUCGGAUUAGCUAGUUGGUGAGGUAAUGGCUCACCAAGGCGACGAUCCGUAACUGGUCUGAGAGGAUGAUCAGUCACACUGGAACUGAGACACGGUCCAGACUCCUACGGGAGGCAGCAGUGGGGAAUUUUGGACAAUGGGCGCAAGCCUGAUCCAGCAAUGCCGCGUGCAGGAUGAAGG
rnacentral:rRNA from 1 species